AGUGGAUGGGGAACAACCUAGUUGUGCGUGUGUAAAGGUAGUGCCAAGAAAAGCGGUGAUCAUGAUGAAAAUCAAUUCCCGGUACCCGAAACCGACACAGGUGGGCAAGUAGAGAAUACUAAGGGGCGCGAGGUAACUCUCUCCAAGGAACUCGGCAAAAUGACCCCGUAACUUAGGGAGAAGGGGUGCCACCGAGAGGUGGUCGCAGUGAAGAGGCCCAGGCGACUGUUUAGCAAAAACAUAGGUCUCUGCAAACUCGAAAGAGGAGGUAUAGGGGCUGACGCCUGCCCAGUGCCGGAAGGUUAAAGAAGUUGGUCAGUCUUAGGAUGAAGCUAGCGACUGAAGCCCCGGUGAACGGCGGCCGUAACUAUAACGGUCCUAAGGUAGCAAAAUUCCUUGUCGGGUAAGUUCCGACCCGCACGAAAGGCGUAACGAUCUGGGCGCUGUCUCGGAGAGAGGCUCGGCGAAAUAGGAUUGUCUGUGAAGAUACGGACUACCUGCAUUUGGACAGAAAGACCCUAUGAAGCUUUACUAUAGCUUGGAAUUGUGUUCGGGCUUCCUGUGCGCAGGAUAGGUGGGAGGCGUAGAAGGUAUUCUUGUGGGGAUACUGGAGCCAACGGUGAGAUACCACUCUCAGGAGGCUAGAAUUCUAACUUAAUUAAGGACAGUUUCAGGUGGGUAGUUUGACUGGGGCGGUCGCCUCCAAAAAGGUAACGGAGGCGUACAAAGGUUCCCUCAGACUGGUUGGAAAUCAGUCGCAGAGUGCAAAGGCAGAAGGGAGCUUGACUGCGAGAAGUACAGUUCGAGCAGGGUGGAAACACGGUCUUAGUGAUCCGACGGUGCUGUGUGGAAGGGCCGUCGCUCAACGGAUAAAAGUUACUCUAGGAUAACAGGCUGAUCUCCCCCAAGAGUUCACAUCGACGGGGAGGUUUGGCACCUCGAUGUCGGCUCAUCGCAACCUGGGGCGGAAGUACGUCCCAAGGGUUGGGCUGUUCGCCCAUUAAAGCGGUACGUGAGCUGGGUUCAGAACGUCGUGAGACAGUUCGGUCCAUAUCCGAUGUAGGCGUGAGAAUAUUGAGAGGAGCCUUCCUUAGUACGAGAGGACCGGGAAGGACGCACCGCUGGUGUACCUGUUAUGAUGCCAAUUGUAAACGCAGGGUAGCCAAGUGCGGAGAGGAUAACCGCUGAAAGCAUCUAAGUGGGAAGCCCACCUCAAGAUGAGUAUUCUGGUGUAAGGUCACGGGAAGACGACCCGUAAAUAGGCACGAGGUGGAAGUGCAGAGAUGUAUGAAGCCGAAGUGUACUAAUAGACCGUCGGCUUGACC
rnacentral:rRNA from 1 species